GAGCUCUGAUAUUUAUUAUAACAAAGGGAGAAGGCAAAGGCAGGUCGGGGACAGGUGAGAGUUCAUAAACCAGGUCAGAGUCCAAACAGACACAGACGAUAGGCAGUCUCGAGGUCAGGCCAGGCAGGGGUCAGAAACCAGACCCGAGUCCAAAACAGUACAAGGGGAUAGGCAGGCUGGUAGUCAGAACAGGCAGAGUGGUCAGGCAGGCGGGUUCAGAGUCAGGACAGGCAAGGGUCGAAACCAGGAGGACUAGAAACAAACAGAGACUGGGAAAAAAUAGGAGCAAGGAAAACCGCUAGAUGACUUGGCAAACAAGACGAACAGGCACAGAGAGACAGGAAACACAGGGAUAUAUACACCGGGGAUAAUAAGCGACACCUGGAGGGGGUGGAGACAAUCACAAAGACAGUUGAACCAGAUCAGGGUGUGACACUAAACAAGGCUUAAGGAGGAUGCAUCUUCUGCUAUCUUUGGCUGGUUCAGUCACUGUGGCAGGCAUUAGGGCAGUAGCAGGAGGAGAGGUCUGGCUAGCUCCUGUUGUACUGUAGCUGAUGCAGUCUCACUGCUGCCCCCUCCUUUCUCUGGUUCAACCUCUGGCUUAGCUGACUCAGCUGGUUCUGUCUAUCCUUUCUCUGGUAUAGUCUCUCCUCAGGUUCUGUUUUGGUCUCCUGUCAAUACCGGGUCAGUAUCUGGCUUGGGGCUGUCACUCUCCUCAGCCUGAUGUGGUUCUGUGUUUCCCUCAGCCAAUUAAGUAUUUUUGUUCUCUACUUUUACUGGUUCAGUGUCUAAGCGUCUUUUCGCUCCCUUCUUCAAUUGUUGGGUCAGUAGCUAUACUUGAUAGCAGUGCAAUUUGGGAUUGGUAAAAUGAGGAUAAGCCGUCAACUGGUGACGCCUUGGCUUUCUCCUCCUCCCCCUCUCUUCCUUCCCUCCAUCCCCUACUCCCUCCUCCAGGAUCUCGACUGGGAUAUGGGCUUGAGCCAUUGGCACUAGAUUCAGAGAGGUCUUUGGAGGUGCAACUGGCUUCCUUCUAAGCAGGGCUACUUGCUUCAGAGCUUCCUGAUUGGUUAUCUUCUGGGUUCCACUGUCACUCAGAGGAAACGGGAGGGUUUGUAGUUCCUCUGUGGGAGCAUCAUGCUUGUGUGAGAGGUUUGGGUCUGUGGGGGGCUCAGUGACACUCCCCCCACCAGCCACCUCAGAGGAAGACUCUGGGUCAGACAGUGGCGGCUCAUUUAUAUCUGUGACGAUGCCCUGUGUCUCGCUCCCAAUUCCGUGGUUUUUCCUUCUUCCACCACUUGAGGCUGAGGCGCUUCCUGCACUAAAACGUUAUUGUCUGCCUUGACAUGUUUAUUCUCCUUCACAGGUUCUGCAUUGUUCUUUUCUUUAUCCAGUGAUGAAACGUACCGAUCAUCGGAUGGAGAGAACCUGGCGUUCGUCAGGAAGAAAUCUGUCAUGUCAUGCUCAGACUCAUGGAUUUCCCCUUCUGUCUGUGCAUCGUCAGGGUGUGAGAGAAAGCUGUCCAGCGCAUAUGAUUCCUGGGCCCAAGUUCUGAAGCCUUCCUCUACGGCUGGCUACCCUUCCAGCUCCACCACAGGAGUCUCAUCCUUCAGGACAAACUUCUCCAGGUACCCCCUGGCCUUCCAGUCUGAGUGUCUGCUGUGGAAAGACCAUUCAGAGGUCAUACUCUCUGUCUUCAUCCUUCACUCCUUCCUUGCUGCCUCCCGCCUCUUCAUACAGGUCUGUGUAGCAGUGGUGGUCGGUGCUGUUUAAGAUAGGGAAGACUUUUUUAUUUUUUAUGAGCAUGGCCUUAUUUCAGUUACAGCAUAUUGAAUGACUGUCAUUCAUAUUCCAUUCACCCAGUUCAAUGUAACAGUAAUAGGUUUAGGCUACUACAUGAUACCCACAUUUUCCCUAUUCCCAUCAUGAGGUUGCUACAACCUAGACUGAAUGAAAGUUUAUAACGUAGGUGCACACAGGUCGAGAUAAACAUUUGAGGUGACAGACAGUGACAGACAGCGACACAUUCAAUACCGCCUUGCACACUCUUGCCUGUAUCUAUCUGAUUUUAGGGUGUAAUCAUUAGUCAUGUUUACAUACCACCACAGUAAGAGGCUGGCACUAAAAUGGCAUUGCAUGAGCUGUAUUCCGCCAUAAGCAAACAAGAAAACGCUCACCCAGAAGCGGCGCUCCUAGUAGCCGGGGACUUUAAUGCAGGGAAACUUAAAUCCGUUUCACCAAAUUUCUAUCAGCAUGUUAAAUGAGCAACCAGAGGGAAAAUAACUCUGGAGCACCUAUACUCCUCACAAAGAGACGCAUACAAAGCUCUCCCUCGCCCUCCAUUUGGCAAAUCUGACCAUAAUUCUAUCCUCCUGAUUCCUGCUUACAAGCAAAUAUUUAAGCAGGAA
rnacentral:lncRNA from 1 species